rnacentral:rRNA from 1 species
GAUGAACGCUGACAGAAUGCUUAACACAUGCAAGUCAACUUGAACUUCGGUUUGGGUGGCGGACGGGUGAGUAACGCGUAAAGAACUUGCCUCACAGAUAGGGACAACAUUUGGAAACGAAUGCUAAUACCUGAUAUUAUGAUUAUAUGGCAUCGUAUAAUUAUGAAAGCUAUAUGCGCUGUGAGAGAGCUUUGCGUCCCAUUAGCUAGUUGGAGAGGUAACGGCUCACCAAGGCGAUGAUGGGUAGCCGGCCUGAGAGGGUGAUCGGCCACAAGGGGACUGAGACACGGCCCUUACUCCUACGGGAGGCAGCAGUGGGGAAUAUUGGACAAUGGACCAAGAGUCUGAUCCAGCAAUUCUGUGUGCGCGAUGAAGUUUUUCGGAAUGUAAAGUGCUUUCAGUUGGGAAGAAAAAAAUGACGGUACCAACAGAAGAAGUGACGGCUAAAUACGUG